rnacentral:lncRNA from 1 species
UCAAAAGCAUGUAAUUGUACAAUUACUAAAUAAAAUUUAAAAGGGGGAGGGAAAUUUUAAGGUUGAUGGGUUUUAGGUGGUGAAAUGAUCAUGCUAGUUUUUAUUAAUGUGAAAUCAGAUUCUGGAAGUCGAAAUACUGAAAAUCAUAAAAUAUUAUGUAUACAUAGUAGAAUUAAAUGAAUAAAGAGUUAAAGUGAAGUGGGCCAAGGAGACCUCAAAUGAAAAAAACUUAUUUAGUCGAUACAAGCAAAUAUUAAACCGGCAAAAUGUACGAUGGUCUUUUGAUUGCACCUAAACUUGGAACGUUAUUGUUCUUCAUGCAACGCAAUGUUCAAACAUAGCAAAGGAUUUCUAUGUUAUUGGGUGUAUGCUUCUAAUCGACAUUUUUUCUGGACCAGACAUGGUUGGUGUUUUUGCAAAGACAAUUUCAGGCAACUCUGCUUUUGAUUAGAGGAAAUUUGUAUUAUACGGAAGUGCACAUAAAUAAUGAGCUACUGGAGGCACGAUUAACUUCUAACUAAGUAUAACGACAAAGACUACAUGCAUACAUGAUGAUUGAUUGUGUUCUUGUUCAUUUAUUGAGCACAUAUCGCUUCCGUGCUAUUGCAUCUCAUAUAAAAAAGAAAUGUAAACAAGGAAAUAUCAAGAAAUCAACCGGCCAGAGGUUCGGCACGUUGCCUUUUAAGCGUGAUGACUUGGCGUGAAGUUGGAGAAGAAGGAACGCAUCAAGAGAUGUUGCUCCAUGAGUGGUACAAUGAUAUCUAGAAUGUGAACUCUAAU